UACGGAGGGUGCAAGCGUUAUCCGGAUUCACUGGGUUUAAAGGGUGCGUAGGUGGGCAGGUAAGUCAGUGGUGAAAUCUCCGGGCUUAACCCGGAAACUGCCAUUGAUACUAUCUGUCUUGAAUAUCCUGGAGGUGAGCGGGAAUAUGUCAUGUAGCGGUGAAAUGCUUAGAUAUGACAUAGAACACCCAUUGCGAAGGCAGCUCACUACGGGAUGAUUGACACUGAGGCACGAAAGCGUGGGGAUCAAACAGG
rnacentral:rRNA from 1 species